ACGAACGCUAGCGGCGUGCCUAAGGUAUGCAAGUCGAACGGGAGACUUCGGUCUCUAGUGGCGAACGGUCGAGUAACACGUAGAUAACCUGCCCUUCAGUGGGGGAUAACAGCGGGAAACUGCUGCUAAUACCGCAUGUGGCGCGGCUGAGCAUUCAGCUUACGCUAAAGGAUUUAUUCGCUGAAGGAUGGGUCUGCGGCCUAUCAGCUAGUUGGUGUGGUAACGGCGCACCAAGGCGACAACGGGUAGCGGGUCUGAGAGGAUGAUCCGCCGGAUGGGGACUGAGACACGGCCCCAACUCCUUCGGGAGGCAGCAAUGAGGAAUCUUGCGCAAUGGGGGAAACCCUGACGCAGCGACGCCGCGUGGGUGAGGAAGUUCUUCGGAAUGUAAAGCCCUUUUGUCGAGGACGAAAUUGACGGUACUCGGCGAAUAAGCCCCGGCUAACUACGUGCCAGCAGCCGCGGUAAUACGUAGGGGGCAAGCGUUGUCCGGAUUUACUGGGCGUAAAGAGCGCGUAGGCGGAAGUUUAAGCGGUGCUUGAAAGCCCCCGGCUCAACCGGGGAGAGUGGUGCCGAACUGGACUUCUUGAGGGCGAUAGAGGAGAGUGGAAUUCCGGGUGUAGCGGUGAAAUGCGUAGAGAUCCGGAGGAACACCAGUGGCGCAGGCGGCUCUCUGGGUCGGCCCUGACGCUGAGGCGCGAAAGCGUGGGGAGCGAACGGGAUUAGAUACCCCGGUAGUCCACGCCGUAAACGAUGAUCACUAGGUGUGUGCGGUAUCGACCCCCCCGCACGUGCCGUAGCUAACGCAUGAAGUGAUCCGCCUGGGGAGUACGGCCGCAAGGUUGAAACUCAAAGGAAUUGACGGGGGCCCGCACAAGCGGUGGAGCAUGUGGAUUAAUACGUCACUAACCGUAGAACCUUACCCAGGCUUGACAUCUGUAGAAGGCUCCUGAAAGGGAGCUGUGCCCCGCAAGGGGAGCUACAAGACAGGUGUUGCAUGGCUGUCGUCAGCUCGUGUCGUGAGAUGUUGGGUUAAGUCCCGCAACGAGCGCAACCCUCACCGUCUGUUGCCAGCAUUCAGUUGGGCACUCUGACGGAACUGCCCGGGUAACCGGGAGGAAGGUGGGGACGACGUCAAGUCAGCAUGGCCCUUACGCCUGGGGCUUCACACAUGCUACAAUGGCCGGUACAAAGGGCUCCGAUACCGCGAGGUGGAGGCAAUCCCAAAAAGCCGGUCUCAGUUCGGAUCGCAGGCUGCAACUCGCCUGCGUGAAGCUGGAAUCGCUAGUAACCGCCGGUCAGCUAAACGGCGGUGAAUACGUUCCCCGGGCCUUGUACCACACCGCCCGUCACGUCACCUGAGUCUGUUGCACACCGAAGCCGCUGGCCCAACCGCAAGGAGGGAGGCGUCGAAGGUGUGGCCGGUAAGGGGGACG
rnacentral:rRNA from 1 species